rnacentral:rRNA from 1 species
GACGAACGCUGGCGGCGUGCUUAACACAUGCAAGUCGAACGGAGUGGAGAACGGAUGAGUAACACGUGGGUGACCUGCCCUGCACUUCGGGAUAAGCCUGGGAAACUGGCUCGAAUACCGGUUAGUGUGGGAUGGGGCCGGGGCUUAUCGGUUAGUUGGUGGGGUAAUGGCCAACCAAGGGGGCGGCGGGUAGCCGGCCUUGGAGGGUGGACGGCCACAUUGGGACUAAGAGACGGCCCAGAGUCCUACUGGAGGCAACGGUGGGGAGUAUUGCACAAUGGGCGGAAGCCUGAUAUAGAGACUUCGCGUGGGGGAUGACGGCCUUCUGGUUGUAAACUCCUUUCACCAUCGACGCGGUAUAUGGAGAAGAAGCACCGGCUAACUACGUGCCAGCAGCCGCGGUAAUUC